rnacentral:lncRNA from 1 species
CAAGCAGGCCAGACACACCAUCCAAUGGAACCUACAAGAUCCACCAAUCCAGUGCCUACUGCAGUGGAGAAGAUAUAGACAGUGACGUAUUCAUUGAAUUUCCUGACCAACUCUCUCACCUGGAAGGGAUGCUUAGGCGACUGAGUAGUGAUCUGCUGAAGGAGAAGAGAGACAAAGUGGCUCUUCUGGCAGAGGUGUUGAAGCUUCGCAUUAGCAACCAGCAUCUGAGAGAAGAGUCCCUUUGUGCAUGUGCACAACUACACAAAAUCAGCAACAUUUUAAACACGGCACCUGGAGAGAUGGAGUAAUGCAGGGUCGCAAGCAAAGACUACAUGUCUGGAUAUCGGCACACUUUUUUUGCCCUGAUUUGGGAGGUAAAAAUCUGCAGAAUGGAUGUAAACAUUUAUAGAUGUGUUACAUGAAGCCAUUGGUGACUGAAAGCUUAAUCAAAUUAACCAAAAUAUUUCAUUUCAUGAACAAACAUUUAGGGGCAGAG